UCUCGAUAACGUAAAAGUUAAGUCAAAUUUGUAUAGAUUUGGAACGUUUGCCUAUGUUUGCCGCUAGGGGCAUUGUUCCAGCUGCAUACAUAUUUUAGGUAACUUUGGAUGGA
rnacentral:pre_miRNA from 9 species